rnacentral:rRNA from 1 species
GACGAACGCUGGCGGCGUGCCUAAUACAUGCAAGUAGAACGCUGAAGAGAGGAGCUUGCUCUUCUUGGAUGAGUUGCGAACGGGUGAGUAACGCGUAGGUAACCUGCCUUAUAGCGGGGGAUAACUAUUGGAAACGAUAGCUAAUACCGCAUAACAAUGGAUGACACAUGUCAUUUAUUUGAAAGGGGCAAUUGCUCCACUACAAGAUGGACCUGCGUUGUAUUAGCUAGUAGGUGAGGUAAUGGCUCACCUAGGCGACGAUACAUAGCCGACCUGAGAGGGUGAUCGGCCACACUGGGACUGAGACACGGCCCAGACUCCUACGGGAGGCAGCAGUAGGGAAUCUUCGGCAAUGGGGGCAACCCUGACCGAGCAACGCCGCGUGAGUGAAGAAGGUUUUCGGAUCGUAAAGCUCUGUUGUAAGUCAAGAACGGGUGUGAGAGUGGAAAGUUCACACUGUGACGGUAGCUUACCAGAAAGGGACGGCUAACUACGUG